rnacentral:rRNA from 1 species
AUGCAUGCCUCAGUACGGCGAGUGAAGCGGCAAAAGCUCAAUUUGAAUCUGAGGCUCUCACGUCGCCGAGUUGUAUUUGGAGGAUGGUGAUCUGGUGGCUGCGCCCUGUCUACGUUCCUUGGAACAGGACGUCGUAGAGGGUGAGAAUCCCGUCGUGGCGAGCUGCCUGGCUUCGUGGUAGAUGCGCAUCGACGAAGUCAGGUUGGUUGGGAAUGCAGCUCCUAGUUGGUUGUAAAUUCCAUCCUAAGGCUAAUAUUGGCGAGAGACCGAUAGCGGACCAGUACAGUGAUGGAAAGAUGAAAGGAACUUUGGAAAAGAGAGUGAAAAGUACGUGAAAUUGUUUGAAAGGGAAGGUAUGGAUCAGACUUGGUGCUGUGCGACAUACGGCUCCUUCCUGGGGCUGGCCACUUCGCACCUCACCGGGCCAGCCAUCGGUUUGGGCGGCAGGACAAUGCCGCGGGACGUUGGCACUGCUUCCCGAGCAGUGUGUUUAGGCCACCCACUGAUGUUUGCCUGCCUGAACCCAUGGCACGCUGCCUUCGGCCAAGGAUGGCUGCCUUAUGAUUCACCACCCGUCCGCUGGAAAAACACAAACACA